rnacentral:rRNA from 1 species
AUUGAACGCUGGCGGCAGGCCUAACACAUGCAAGUCGAGCGAGCGUCGGACGGGUGAGUAAUGUAUGGGGAUCUGCCCGAUAGAGGGGUAUAACUACUGGACACGGUGUCUAAUACCGCAUACUAUCGGAUGACCCCAUAUGGGAUUAGCUAGUAUGUGGGGUAAAGGCUCACCUAGGCGACGAUGUCUAGCUGGUCUGAGAGGAUGAUCAGACACACUGGGACUGAGACACGGCCCAGACGCCUACGGGAGGCAGCAGUGGGGAAUAUUGAACAAUGGGCGCAAGCCUGGUGCAGCCAUGCCGCGUGUAUGAAGAAGGCCUUAGGGUUGUAAAGUACGUUCAGCGGGGAGGCGUUACCCGCAGAAGAAGCACCGGCUAACUCCGGGCCAGCAGCCGCGGUAAUAC